rnacentral:rRNA from 1 species
UACGUAGGCAGCAAGCGUUGUUCGGAGUUACUGGGCGUAAAGGGUGCGUAGGCGGCUUUUUAAGUCUGGUGUGAAAUCUCCCGGCUCAACUGGGAGGGUGCGCCGGAUACUGAGGGGCUAGAGUGUGGGAGAGGAAAGUGGAAUUCCUGGUGUAGCGGUGAAAUGCGUAGAGAUCAGGAAGAACACCCGUGGCGAAGGCGGCCCACUGGGCCGGUACUGACGCUGAGGCGCGAAGGCGUGGGGAGCGAACGGG